rnacentral:rRNA from 1 species
UACGUAGGUGGCAAGCGUUGUCCGGAUUUACUGGGCGUAAAGAGCGCGCAGGCGGUCGUCCAAGUCGCGUGUGAAAGCCCCCGGCUCAACUGGGGAGGGUCACUCGAUACUGAUCGACUCGAAGGCAGAAGAGGGAAGCGGAAUUCCCGGUGUAGUGGUGAAAUUCGUAGAUAUUGGGAAGAACACCGGUGGCGAAGGCGGCGACCUGGUCCAUUACUGACGCUGAGGCGCGACAGCGUGGGGAGCAAACAGG